GACGAACGCUGGCGGCGUGCCUAAUACAUGCAAGUCGAACGCAGUGGGGACGGGUGAGUAACACGUGGGUAACCUCCCAUCAGAGGGGAUAACACUUGGAAACAGGUGCUAAACCGAUACUGAUGGAUGGACCCGCGGUGCAUUAGCUAGUUGGUGAGGUAACGGCUCACCAAGGCCGCGAUGCAUAGCCGACCGUAGCGGUUGAUCGUCCACUCGGGGACUGAGACACGGCCCAGACUCAUUCGGGAGGCAUACGUAGGGGAUCUUCGGCAAUGGACGAAAGUCUGACCGAGCAACGCGGCGUGAGUGAAGAAGGUUUUCGGAUCGUAAAGCUCUGUUGUUAGAGAAGCGGUAUCUAACCAGAAAGCCACGGCUAACUACGUGCCAGCAGCCGCGGUAAUUC
rnacentral:rRNA from 1 species